ACUCGGCAGUGUGUAAGCAACUGACUACUCUACUGGUGGUCAGAAGCUUGCAAGGAUCUCCUGCGUUGCCAGAUAAAAUGCUCUUCUAGGCGUUACGAUUGAAACUUGUUUUACGGCUUCCAUCGUGGUAACAGAAAAGCUACAUCU
rnacentral:snoRNA from 1 species